rnacentral:misc_RNA from 1 species
GAUGAUGAUGAUGAUGAUGAUGCUCUCAAAUGUAGAAUUGGGCUCUUAAUGAGUUAUUUUGUUUAAUCGAAUAUGAUUACUUAUAUUUUGUAACCAAUUUAACUAUUUCAAGAAUAAAAUAAUAUAUAAAUAUUUAAAAAAUAAUAAUAUUGAUAUCCCUGCCUAUUGAAAGACUACUACACAUACACAAACCAAGAGUGCUAUGAUGCACCGACUCACCUUAGGAAAAGGAAAUAGGAAUGAUAUAAGAAUUUGUGAACUGUUACCUUCUCACAUCUGAGGAAAA